GCCCAAGAUAUUACUCCAGCACUUUAUCCCGAGUGCGCAAACAAAACAAAAUCCCAGUCUUGACCCCUUCAGGGCUCCCAGCAACCCAGAACCAAUAGCUCUCAGCUCACUAGCACCUCGUUUUGGUUCUGCCCUGCCAGCACAAGGCCUGCAUUGAGACUAAACAGGAAGCAGAGACGGAGCCCUUUGGUUGACCAACACACAACUCGGCACCCACACCCUUCUUUAAGAGAUGAGGACGAUCACAAAAUCUUACACAAAAGCCCUGUCCGGAAUAUUGUGCUCAUCUCGAGGGCGCCCAGUGUAAGAAGGGUAUGGACCUCUUGGACUGGGUCCAGAGAAGGGCCACGAAGAUGCUCAGAGGGCUGGAGCACCUCUCCUAUGAAGAUAGGGUUGAGAGUUGGGCUUGUUCAAGUUUGGCUCUGGGGAGACCUCACUGUAGCCUUACAGUACCUAAAGGGGCCCACAGGAAAGCUGAGGAGGGACCUUUUACAAUGGCAUGUAUGGAUAAGACAAUGGUUAAUGGCUUUAAGAUGGCAGCUUUAGAUUAGAUGCAAGGAAGCAACUCUUCACUAUAACUCUUCC
ensembl:lncRNA